UACGUAGGGUGCGAGCGUUAAUCGGAAUUACUGGGCGUAAAGCGUGCGCAGGGGGUUGUGCAAGACCGAUGUGAAAUCCCCGGGCUUAACCUGGGAAUGGCAUUGGUGACUGCACGGCUAGAGUGUGUCAGAGGGGGGUAGAAUUCCACGUGUAGCAGUGAAAUGCGUAGAUAUGUGGAGGAAUACCGAUGGCGAAGGCAGCCCCCUGGGAUAACACUGACGCUCAUGCACGAAAGCGUGGGGAGCAAACAGG
rnacentral:rRNA from 1 species